rnacentral:snoRNA from 1 species
GCCUUGUGGUUCCUAGAGUCGGCUCCAAAGUGCCGCGCUGUAGGUUUUUAUUAACGGGCGCAUAUGAACUUCUGCGAUUUUAUGCAUGGAGCCUGCAGCUACAGCAGCGCUCCAUAGCCCGGUUGCAGAGACACUU